GACAGAGGGUGCAACCGUUGUUCGGAAUUACUGGGCGUAAAGCGUGUGUAGGCGGCUACAUAAGUCGGAUGUGAAAGCCCGGGCUCAACCCGGGAAGUGCACUCGAUACUGCGUAGCUUGAGUCUCGGAGAGGUUGGUGGAAUUCUCGGUGUAGAGGUGAAAUUCGUAGAUAUCGAGAGGAACACCGGUGGCGAAGGCGGCCAACUGGACGAAGACUGACGCUGAGACACGAAAGCGUGGGGAGCAAACAGG
rnacentral:rRNA from 1 species